rnacentral:rRNA from 1 species
GGGUAGCUGGUCUGAGAGGAUGGUCAGCCACACUGGGACUGAGAUACGGCCCAGACUCCUACGGGAGGCAGCAGUCGAGAGGCUUCGUCAAUGGGGGAAACCCUGAACGAGCGACGCCGCGUGGGCGAUGAAGGCCUUCGGGUUGUAAAGCCCUGUCGUGCGGGAAGAAGGAUUCAGUGGCAAACAGCCGCGGAGUCUCGACGGUACCGCAAAAGGAAGCUCCGGCUAACUCCGUGCCAGCAGCCGCGGUAAUACGGGGGGAGCGAACGUUGUUCGGAAUUACUGGGCGUAAAGGGCGCGUAGGCGGCUUCGUAAGUGAGAUGUGAAAGCUCCUGGCUCAACCAGGGAAAUGCGUCUCAUACUGCGAGGCUUGAGUGCAGGAGAGGAUGGGGGAAUUCCCGGUGUAGCGGUGAAAUGCAUUGAUAUCGGGAGGAACACCAGUGGCGAAGGCGCCCAUCUGGCCUGUUACUGACGCUGAGGCGCGAAAGCUGGGGGAGCAAACAGGAUUAGAUACCCUGGUAGUCCCAGCUGUAAACGGUGGGCACUGGGUGUGGGGGGCAUCGACCCCCCCCGUGCCGCAGCUAACGCAUUAAGUGCCCCGCCUGGGGAGUACGACCGCAAGGUUGAAACUCAAAGGAAUUGACGGGGGCCCGCACAAGCGGUGGAGCAUGUGGUUUAAUUCGAUGCAACGCGAAGAACCUUACCUAGGCUUGACAUGCAUUGGACGGGUGUUGAAAUACACCUUCCCUUCGGGGCCGAUGCACAGGUGCUGCAUGGCUGUCGUCAGCUCGUGUCGUGAGAUGUUGGGUUAAGUCCCGCAACGAGCGCAACCCUUGUCCCUAGUUGCUAACAAGUCAAGUUGAGCACUCUAGGGAGACUGCCGUCGAUAGGACGGAGGAAGGUGGGGAUGACGUCAAGUCCUCAUGGUCCUUACGCCUAGGGCUACACACGUGCUACAAUGGCCGGUACAAAGGGUUGCAAAGCCGCGAGGUAGAGCCAAUCCCAAAAAACCGGUCUCAGUUCGGAUUGCAGGCUGCAACUCGCCUGCAUGAAGUCGGAAUCGCUAGUAAUCGCUGAUCAGCAGGCAGCGGUGAAUAUGUUCCCGGGCCUUGUACACACCGCCCGUCAAGCCACGAAAGCUGGUAGUACCCGAAGUCGCUGUCCUAACCGCAAGGAGGGGGGCGCCUAAGGUAAGACUGGUGAUUGGGGCUAAGUCGUAACAAGGUA